rnacentral:tRNA from 1 species
GAGAAUAUAGCUCAGUGGUAGAGUGUGUGUUUAGCAUACACGAGGUCCUGGGUUCAAGCCCCAGUACCUCU